rnacentral:rRNA from 1 species
GACGAACGCUGGCGGCGUGCUUAACACAUGCAAGUCGAACGGAAAGGCCCUGCUUUUGUGGGGUGCUCGAGUGGCGAACGGGUGAGUAACACGUGAGUAACCUGCCCUUGACUUUGGGAUAACCUCAGGAAACUGGGGCUAAUACCGGAUAGGAGCUCCUGCUGCAUGGUGGGGGUUGGAAAGUUUCGGCGGUUGGGGAUGGACUCGCGGCUUAUCAGCUUGUUGGUGGGGUAGUUGCUUACCAAGGCUUUGACGGGUAGCCGGCCUGAGAGGGUGACCGGCCAAAUUGGGACUGAGAUACGGCCCAGACUCCUACGGGAGGCAGCAGUGGGGAAUAUUGCACAAUGGGAGGAAGCCUGAUGCAGCAACGCCGCGUGCGGGAUGACGGCCUUCGGGUUGUAAACCGCUUUCGCCUGUGACGAAGCGUGAGUGACGGUAAUGGGUAAAGAAGCACCGGCUAACUACGUG